CAAGGCGAGGAGCCACAGCUAAUUGAGCGGAGACAACGUCUGCGGUUGGGUAAGAAGGGGGUGAAACGGUGUGGCAAACAAACACUUGUCGGUGCUUCGUGCAUAACGUGUCAUGUGUUCCAUUCUUUGAUGUUUCCUCUUUGGCUGCUUUUUUGGGCUGCGUGGGCUUUAAGGAUUGACUUUCUCCACCGUGACACUACUCGUGGCAUUCUGCUGAAACAGGUGUUCACAAAACAGACAACUCUUCGCUGAAGCUCCUCAGGGGAAGAAAAAAAAAAAAAAAAAAACAUCUCACUGCAGACCAGUCAGGUGAGCGGCAACAGACUAACUGUAACAUACAAAACACGAGACAUAUUUGUGUGUGUAGAGGGAAUGAGGAAGUGCAUCAGGCCACAGGUUUCUCAUUUUUUGGUGACACUCCAAGGCUACUCUUCAGGCAAAAGCAAAGCAGGAGCAAACAAGGACUAAAGGAGGGAAACGGGGCAACAGGACCACGCUAACAUCACCUCUGUGAGGGCAGAGAUCAGCGACGGGCAGCCAGAUCCCCCCCCCCAGGACACACACCCCUUUCUGCCUUGAUGCCCACAAAAAGACACACCUUCUCUGCAACGGGAAGUUAGCUGUUACAACUAGGCCAAGUGAGACACAGCUGGCCUUUUGCCCUGUCUCUGCUGAGGAGCAGCUUCAGUGAGCCCCAGGGUGAAAGGAAGGGUGAGCAGGUUGCCAUGGCUCCCUUGGCAGCUGGGAUUUUAGGCUCGGCACCCGAGGCCCUCCUUCCAGGGGUCACGCUGAUGACCGUGCUUUUCAUCCUUGUCCUCUUCAUCAUGCUCCUCGCUCUCUGCUCCAGCUGCAAGAGAAAUUCCUUUGAUCUUGAGGACAGCAAACCAGAAAACAACCCAUCCUCCUUGCUUCACGUGAUGAAGUUGGAUAAAACCAAGGAAGGCAGAGACAACCCCAGUCAUAGCUGGGUCACAAUGGAUGAAAUAGAUGCCUUUCCUGCACCAGAAAACAGUAUUGUACAAAUGAACACCAACUCAGCACAUGAACCAUACCAACCAUGGAGGAAUCAUACUGGCAUUCUGAGACCUCAAGGUGAGACUCAUGCUGGCAUUCAGGAAUUGUCGAACCCUAACACUCCAAGAGAAUCCUCGGGUCCAUUCAUUGGAAACCUCAGGGUACAAAGAAUCCCAAUUGACCCAGUGGCCAGUAUCCAACAGGUCCCAGCAUCGGUGGUCAGUCCAUUGAGGGAUAUGGAUUCCAUGCAGGAGUCAGGUCUUUCUCUGAUGGCACUUGGCCAUUCAGUUGCCUCUGCAGAUAAAUUCCAACUGAGUCAAGGCAGUGACAGUCUUCAAAACCCUACUGCCUCUUUGCAGCACUCACAAAGCGAGAACAUCUACGAGGUUGCCACAGGAGACAGAGGACCAAUCUCCAUGAUUUUGCCCUACGCUCACAUGACCCAAGAGGAUUUUGUGAACCCGGCAUAUCAUACAGCAGAAGAACUGAUGCAGCUUCAGAGCGACGUGACCCCUCCUAGUCACGUGUCCGACUCGCAAAAUGGGAACGCUGUACCGCCCACUUUGCAGGAAGAGGAAGGCCACGAGUCAAGUGCCAAGCGGCUGAACGAUGUAUACGCAAAGGUCAGCAAGAAGAGCAGGAACCAGGAGCUGCCCCCUCCACCCUCUGUACCACCACCAGUGAAUGAGGAUCAUGGUGAAGAAUGGGAAGAAAUCCCCAUUCCACCAUUACCACAGCAAUACAUCAGUCAUAAUGACUGUACCACUGCAGUGUAGCAGGUACACGAUACGGGAAAUUAGAGAAAAAAUAAAAAUAUAAACACACACUGUCUGAAGCCA
rnacentral:lncRNA from 1 species